UACGAAGGGGGCUAGCGUUGUUCGGAAUUACUGGGCGUAAAGCGCGUGUAGGCGGGUCUUUAAGUCAGGGGUGAAAUGCCAAGGCUCAACCUUGGAACUGCCUUUGAUACUGGAGAUCUUGAGUCCGGGAGAGGUGAGUGGAACUGCGAGUGUAGAGGUGAAAUUCGUAGAUAUUCGCAAGAACACCAGUGGCGAAGGCGGCUCACUGGCCCGGAACUGACGCUGAGACGCGAAAGCAUGGGGAGCGAACAGG
rnacentral:rRNA from 1 species